rnacentral:ncRNA from 1 species
CUACGGACUUAAUUGGAUUGAGCCUUGGUAUGGAAACUUACUAAGUGAUAACUUUCAAAUUCAGAGAAACCCGGAAAAAAAAGGGGCAAUCCUGAGCCAAAUCCUAUUUUCGAAAACAAACAAAAAAACAAACAAAGGUUCAUAAAGACAGAAUAAGAAUACAAAAGGAUAGGUGCAGAGACUCAAUGGAAGUUGUUCUAACAAAUAGAGUGACUGCGUUGCAUUAGUCAAGUAAAGGAAUCCUUCUGUUUAAGUUAAAUUCCAG